rnacentral:misc_RNA from 1 species
AACCUAGCACACCUGCGGUGUGUACCUGCGGAGGGAUCAUUACCUAGAGUUGUAGGCUUUGCCUGCUAUCUCUUACCCAUGUCUUUUGAGUACCUUACGUUUCCUCGGUGGGCUCGCCCACCGAUUGGACAAAUUUAAACCCUUUGCAGUUGGAAUCAGCGUCUGAAAAAACUUAAUAGUUACAACUUUUAACAAUGGAUCU